AUGGGGCCGCGGGCAGCAGUGGCCCCGGGCUCUCGGCCGCUGCCUGGGAGCCAAAGGGUCAGCUUUAGUUACACAACAAAGUCUCUUCGUCACUGCGAUCCGCCUGGAGGCCACAGCGGCCGGGCAGCCCGGGCAGGGGCCGGAGCGCCGCCGCCGGGGCCGAAGGUGGAAGAGAGCGCGCGAGGGGAGGGUGACCGGCGACAGGGUCCCCGGCGGCUGGACUUACUCGUGUCACAAUUGCGGCGACGAGGGGCUGAGGAACCGGUUCUUCCAAAAACCAAACCGAAAAUGGGAAACGGAGAGGCCAGGGCAGCGCUAAGAGGGAUGAAGAUCCAGGCCCCUGGCUUAGAUGGAGAUUUACUUCGGAGCAUCAGUGGGAGAAGACCAGACCACGUGGGAAUAGCCAAAAGUCAAGUCAACUCUUCAGGUAUGAGUUAGAAAUUUUCUUAUGUGCAGGAAUCAUUUAAAGAAACUUUCACUAGAUCAGUCACUUUUUCCCCCAGUACUGGUGUUUUUUCAUUUAGCUAAAUCACUUAGUACUGUUAGCAUCAUGUUAGCUCCUUCAGGAUAGAAGGUGUCUGGCCAGAGAGCAUGAAUGGAAAGCACUAGAAUAAUAGUGCCAAGAAAAAUGAUGCACAAGACUGAUCUCUAUGCUCUAGGCCCUGUGUAUUAUAAAAAGUACGUGUGAGUUUUAGUCUACUGUAAUAUCCUGUGGUCUGAAAGUUAAUGUCUAUGCCUAUUGCUCCUCUAAAAACACAGUAUGAGGUAAACCCUGGAGAAAUUUACUCACUAGACAGGAACUUAUUAUGUGAGCCAUAAAUUUUGACUUUUACACCCAAUUUCUCGUUACAUUAGGACUGGUUUUCUAAUCCAUUUAUUGUUGACUAACAUUAGCAAAUACAUUUCCCCCUAUCAAGACUUCCAAAGAACAUCAUCAAAUUCUUUAAUCAUACCAGGCAUUUUGGAAGUAUCUAAUGAGAGGAUGCUUUAUGCACUUAUUGCUUGGGAAGCCAAGUGUGGGAU
rnacentral:lncRNA from 1 species